GACGAACGCUGGCGGCGUGCCUAAUACGUGCAAGUCGAGCGAGCUUGCCUAGAUGAAUUUGGUGCUUGCCCCAAAUGAAACUAGAUACAAGCGAGCGGCGGACGGGUGAGUAACACGUGGGUAACCUGCCCAAGAGACUGGGAUAACACCUGGAAACAGAUGCUAAUACCGGAUAACACCACUACACGCUUGUCUAGAUUUUAAAUGAUGGUUCUGCUAUCCCUCUUGGAUGGAGCUGCGGUGCAUUAACUAGGUGGGAGGGUAGCGGUCUACCGAAGCAAUGCUUCUCCUUCUUUAUUACCUACUGCCCCCCCCCCUGGC
rnacentral:rRNA from 1 species